rnacentral:rRNA from 1 species
UGGGGAAUAUUGCACAAUGGGCGAAAGCCUGAUGCAGCAACGCCGCGUGAGUGAUGAAGGCCUUCGGGUUGUAAAGCUCUGUCUUUUGGGACGAUAAUGACGGUACCAAAGGAGGAAGCCACGGCUAACUACGUGCCAGCAGCCGCGGUAAUACGUAGGUGGCAAGCGUUGUCCGGAUUUACUGGGCGUAAAGGAUGCGUAGGCGGAUUUUUAAGUGAGAUGUGAAAUACCCGGGCUUAACUUGGGUGCUGCAUUUCAAACUGGGAAUCUAGAGUGCGGGAGAGGGAGAAUGGAAUUCCUAGUGUAGCGGUGAAAUGCGUAGAGGAUUAGGAAGAACACCAGUGGCGAAAGGCGAUUCUCUGGACCGUAACUGACGCUGAGGCAUGAAAGCGUGGGUAGCAAACAGGAUUAGAUACCCUGGUAGUCCACGCCGUAAACGAUGAGUACUAGGUGUAGGAGGUAUCGACCCCUUCUGUGCCGCAGUUAACACAAUUAAGUACUCCGCCUGGGAAGUACGAUCGCAAGA